rnacentral:lncRNA from 1 species
CCCACAGGUGUGGGAGGUGUGGCUGUGUAAAUCACAGCCCUAGGGGAGUGACAAAGGAGAUUCCCCUUCUACCUUCCCUAGGAUGUCCCUGGGAAUUUCACAGAGCCACGUAGCCCAGGUCCCUUAACUGUGCUAGGAGUCCUAGGGAAGUUUAUCUCUAUUCAGGGGCAACCAGACAGGAAAAAGCUGCCAGUGGAGGAGGCGUUAGAGUCCUUUACAGUCAUCUUCUCCUUGGAAGCCCCUGCAGAGCAGAGGCUGGAAGAGCUGCCUUCUCUGCCUGCAACAUCUGCAAUAUCCCCACCUCCUUGCCAGGCCUGUGGGCACCAUUUUUCCUUAAAGAAGCGUGGAGCAUACAGAGGACAGUCAGUCUUGUUGUGGGGGGAAACAUGGUGAAGGACAAAGGACAAGGUAUUAUGUGUGAGGCUCACGUUAUUACAAUGGAGGAGAAGGAACCCCAAACAGAAGGUCCACACCUAUAGAAAGUAGGCUUAUGAAAGUGGAGUUCUCUCUCCAAACAGAAGGAAUUACACCUUGCUGUAACCCUGCUGUACCACACAAAAGGU